rnacentral:rRNA from 1 species
GACGAACGCUGGCGGCGUGCUUAACACAUGCGAGUCGAACGGAAAGGCCCUGCUUUUGUGGGGUGCUCGAGUGGCGAACGGGUGAGUAACACGUGAGUAACCUGCCCUUGACUUUGGGAUAACUUCAGGAAACUGGGGCUAAUACCGGAUAGGAGCUCCUGCUGCAUGGUGGGGGUUGGAGAGUUUCGGCGGUUGGGGAUGGACUCGCGGCUUAUCAGCUUGUUGGUGGGGUAGUGGCUUACCAAGGCUUUGAUGGGUAGCCGGCCUGAGAGGGUGACCGGCCACAUUGGGACUGAGAUACGGCCCAGACUCCUACGGGAGGCAGCAGUGGGGAAUAUUGCACAAUGGGCGGAAGCCUGAUGCAGCAACGCCGCGUGCGGGAUGACGGCCUUCGGGUUGUAAACCGCUUUCGCCUGUGACGAAGCGUGAGUGACGGUAAUGGGUAAAGAAGCACCGGCUAACUACGUG